CAUUAGGAAGCUAAAUCGGGCCUAGCGUCAGCCUUUUAAGCUGAAGACUGGUGACUCCCAAUCACCCCUAGUGG
rnacentral:tRNA from 1 species